AUGCUGGCACUGAGGUUAUCUAAGAGUUGACAGCCCCAUCUAAAGCCUGGAAUGAAUUAAGUCUUUUUUAGCUAAAAAAUGAACAAAACCUGAGAUGCAUGAGUGUCCUUACCAAAAGGAAGUCCUCGUUUCUAGAACAGGUCUGUCUUCCGGCCUGUGGGUCCAUAGAAUCAUCACAGAAAAAGUGAUUUCAGGAGGUCUCCCCCGCUUUCUGCUCCCAAGGCCGUCUGACUGAGCCUCGGAGGAGAGAAGGAAGCCAUUUCUGGGAGGCCAAAACGUCCGUCUUCCAGGCUCUUGCUGUAAGUCAGCUCGCUUUUACAGAUGAGGAACCAAGAUCCUGGGAAGAUGGGAAGGCAGAGAAAAUCCAUCAAUUUGUACCCUACCCACCAUUUGGUGACUUUUCCAAGAAGCUGGGCUAAGUUCCAGGAAAAAGCUCUGCUAGAGUGCAAUAGCACCAUUUCUGCUCAUCGCAACCUCUACCUCCCAGGUUCAAGUGAUUCUCCUGCCUCAGCCUCCUGAAUAGCUGUGAUUACAGGCAUGUGCCACCACACCUGGCUAAUUUUG
rnacentral:sRNA from 1 species